AGAGAGAGACAUGCGCGCAUAUCAAUAAGCGGAGGAAAAGAAACUAACUAGGAUUCCCUCAGUAACGGCGAGUGAAGCGGGAAGAGCUCAAAUUUGAAAUCUUCAAGGUUCUACCUUGACGAAUUGUAGUUUAAAGAAGUGUUUUCUGUUGGAGUUUUGGUAAAAGUUCUUUGGAAUAGGACAUCAUAGAGGGUGAGAAUCCCGUAUUUGACCAUUAUUUCCAGCUUUGUGAUACACUUUCAAAGAGUCGGAUUGUUUGGGAAUGCAGUCCAAAAUGGGUGGUAAAUUUCAUCUAAAGCUAAAUAUUGGCGAGAGACCGAUAGCGAACAAGUACCGUGAGGGAAAGAUGAAAAGAACUUUGAAAAGAGAGUUAAACAGUACGUGAAAUUGUCAAAAGGGAAGCGUUUGACACCAGUGUUGUUUUCUCGAAAAUCAAUUCAAUAAUGGCCGUGAUGCUAGGUUGUUAUGACUUUAUCAGCAUACUGUCUACUUUUUUCUUGUCUUUUUUAAUGCACUUUUCGUUUAACAAGUCAACAUCAAUUUCUUUUGCUGUAAAAGGGUAAUAGGAAGGUGGCUUUCACUUCGGUUGAAAGUGUUUAUAGCCUUUGACCUCUGCAAUCGGAGAGAUUGAGGUCUGCAGCGUAGACUCUUCGGGGUUAGAUACAUUUGUGCUAAGUUAUAGCUUUUUCAUAGACAACAUUGUUGACUAUGAUUUAAGUCAUUGUAGCUUACUUGCUUAUGCUAUUUUACCUACGCUUAGGAUGUUGACAGCAGUAUAGACUGU
rnacentral:rRNA from 1 species